ACAGACAGGAUAGAGGGUGAGGGGGAGAGAGACACAGCGAAAGCAGGGAAAGAGUUGAUUUGGAAACUAGUUGGAGGAGGGAGAAGGGAGGGGAAAGAGUGAGGAGGUACGCAAACUCUCUGAGAAAAGCAGGAGAAAGUGAACACUCUCACAGGAGGAACAGUUGUGGUCAUAAAAAAGAAACGGCUGCUGAUCUGCUCAAAGAGUCAUAUUACGUCCAAACAUCCAGUGCUGCUCUCUCUCUCUCUCGCAGUCUGAACUGAAGCAGGCUAAUUAGAUGAAGAGCAGAAGACCUGCAGGCACCACAAACUAACUUAUGAGAAGAGAGAAAGAAGAGGGGGAGGGAGAAAACAAGCAGGAGUAAAAGUCAGUGAAACGUUCUGGGGACUGUUUACUUCUGCCUUUGGCUCUGCUGUCAGAGAAGAGUUAGCAAGUGGAAGUAGUGGCACACAUUUGCUAAAGAGCGGAAGGACAAAGACAAGAGGUUGCAGUGUGAAGAGGGUCAGCAGCAGAGGCCUCACAUUCUUCAGCCUCACUCCAGCAGGUGCUUGGAAUCAGCUGGAGGAGCUGCUAUAAACAAAAAGAAUAUACACAUAUAUUCGCCCAGGGUAAAAGUAUCUGUAUUUAGGCACUUAUGAUGAAAUAAUGCAGUGUUUGGGGGUAUUAAGUGUUAAAAGCACACUCUGUCAUGUGGAACUGGCUGUCAAAAACAAAUAUAACAGGAAAUCCGUUAUGAACUGCAGACUGAUGUUUCAUGACUAAAGCAACAGAACAUGUCAAGUAUGACAACCACAAAAAAAAGAAGAAAAAAAACUAUAUACCGGUAUAUAAACAUGUGGUGGCACUUCCUGAUCUGAUAAAGAAUAAGAGUCGGUAGAAAUUCUGAAUAAUCACAUAGUUUUACUUAGAGUUACGCACACAUUAAACUAAACAGAUUUAAUAGAUUAGUACAGUACAGCAUAUGUGUGUGUGCAUCACUAAUAAACAACAAGUAAGGCUUUAAUAUGCUUUAAUCUUUAAUAUGUACAGUUUGCAGAUCAUCGUCAUCAGUUUUGACGGUAGAUGUGGUGUUCCACAGGGUUCUGCAUUGGAUCAAAAAUUCAUUAUUUAGUAUAUUAAUGAUAUAAGUGCAGUGUCUAAUAUAUGAAAUGGUUGAAAAUGACAUGUUAAAUCUGCAUAGGUACUGAAUUUGUUUAUGCCAAUGAAAAAAGGGGAUAUUAGUAUGUUAAAUAUAUCUAAAAUCUCUGUGUACACCACUAUGUGGUUGUACAGUUACUGAAAGACCAUUCUAAAUCAGUAGUUAAUUAGUCAUCCUUGGAAAUGAACAUACACCAAGAUAUAUGGUGUAAUACACAACACAAAGACAGAAAAGCAUCAGAGCAAACAGUUGAAACUAAAAGAAACAACACGGAUAUACAAAACAUUGCAUCCAUACCGGUACAUAAAAUAGUCAAAUGGUAAAAUAGAUAAAUUGAUAAAUCCAGUAAUCCAUGACAAACUUUUUUUAAACAUUUUUGUGACUUUGUUGCCUAGCAACAAACAGCAGGGCGUCUUGGAGCUCUACUGAGGCCUUUUUCUUUUGGAAAAUCAUUCAUAUCAUUUUUUCAACUCCUGCACCCAGAAGU